rnacentral:lncRNA from 1 species
UAUCUUAUUCUCCUUACUCUUACUAUCAUGAGUGGGUUUGGAAUUAUUCUCCUUUUACUAUCAUGAGUGGGUUUGGAAUUUGGGCUUUUUAGUUCUCACGUUUGGACCAAAUGAUUGCGCAUUGACAUCAAUACUAAGGAGAAGUAUUGGAACAUAAGUUGACAAUGAAGGAAUUAUUGUCGAUGGAUAUCAGAAGUUACUCGCAUUGACUAUAACUGUAGAAGUUACAUUCAGUCAUGGAGAAAUGAGUUUUUUUAUAUCAAAUAGGAUUGUCAACUUAUAUUAUUUGACUGGAUAAAUGGCGAUGUGAAUCACUUCAAAUUGACUGCAAUAAUGACCCUUUGUUCACAGGACAACUGAAUAUGUAGGUUAUGGUGCUUGUAGUUUUUUAUUAAUUAGUUCAAAGAGUCACAUCUAAUUGUCAG